AAAGACAUCACUCGCAGAAGAAGCACCGGCUAACUCCGUGCCAGCAGCCGCGGUAAUACGGAGGGUGCAAGCGUUAAUCGGAAUUACUGGGCGUAAAGCGCGCGUAGGUGGCUUGAUAAGCCGGUUGUGAAAGCCCCGGGCUCAACCUGGGAACGGCAUCCGGAACUGUCAAGCUAGAGUGCAGGAGAGGAAGGUAGAAUUCCCGGUGUAGCGGUGAAAUGCGUAGAGAUCGGGAGGAAUACCAGUGGCGAAGGCGGCCUUCUGGACUGACACUGACACUGAGGUGCGAAAGCGUGGGUAGCAAACAGGAUUAGAUACCCUGGUAGUCCACGCCGUAAACGAUGUCGACCAGCCGUUGGGUGCCUAGCGCACUUUGUGGCGAAGUUAACGCGAUAAGUCGACCGCCUGGGGAGUACGGCCGCAAGGUUAAAACUCAAAUGAAUUGACGGGGGCCCGCACAAGCGGUGGAGCAUGUGGUUUAAUUCGAUGCAACGCGAAGAACCUUACCUACUCUUGACAUCCUGCGAAUUUGGUAGAGAUACCUUAGUGCCUUCGGGAACGCAGAGACAGGUGCUGCAUGGCUGUCGUCAGCUCGUGUUGUGAAAUGUUGGGUUAAGUCCCGUAACGAGCGCAACCCUUGUCCUUAUUUGCCAGCGCGUAAUGGCGGGAACUCUAAGGAGACUGCCGGUGACAAACCGGAGGAAGGUGGGGACGACGUCAAGUCAUCAUGGCCCUUACGAGUAGGGCUACACACGUGCUACAAUGGUCGGUACAAAGGGUUGCCAACUCGCGAGAGUGAGCCAAUCCCGAAAAGCCGAUCUCAGUCCGGAUCGGAGUCUGCAACUCGACUCCGUGAAGUCGGAAUCGCUAGUAAUCGUGGAUCAGAAUGCCACGGUGAAUACGUUCCCGGGCCUUGUACACACCGCCCGUCACACCAUGGGAGUGGACUGCACCAGAAGUGGUUAGCCUAACGCAAGAGGGCG
rnacentral:rRNA from 1 species